rnacentral:rRNA from 1 species
UGGGGGAUAUUGCACAAUGGGCGAAAGCCUGAUGCAGCGACGCCGCGUGGGGGAUGAAGGCCUUCGGGUUGUAAACUUCUUUUGCUCUGAACAAGGCAUGCUAAUGGGUGUGUUGAGUGUAGGGGUUGAUUAGCGCCGGCUAACUACGUGCCAGCAGCCGCGGUAAUACGUAGGGCGCGAGCGUUGUCCGGAAUUAUUGGGCGUAAAGGGCUUGUAGGUGGCUGGUUGCGUCUGUCGUGAAAGCUCAUGGCUUAACUGUGGGUUUGCGGUGGGUACGGGCUGGCUUGAGUGCAGUAGGGGAGGCUGGAAUUCCUGGUGUAGCGGUGGAAUGCGCAGAUAUCAGGAGGAAUACCGGUGGCGAAGGCGGGUUUCUGGGCUGUUACUGACACUGAGGAGCGAAAGCAUGGGGAGCGAACAGG